rnacentral:lncRNA from 1 species
AAUGUUCUUGGUGACAUGGCAUCAAGGCCUAAUUUUGGACUUAACGAACUCGAUUUCGUGUUUUCAACACUUGUUGUUGGAUCAAUUAUGAACUUUGUGUUGAUGUAUUUAUUGGCACCAACUGCAUCCGCUUCGAUUCAAACACUGCCUUCGAUUUUUGCUAACUGUCCACCAAGCCACAUGUUUCAGUCUGGUUCUUAUGGUUUGUUGAGUAGGCUUGGAACUUUUGUGUAUAAAGGAACUCAGUUUGCUGCAGUUGGAUUUAGCUGCCUUCGAUUUUCGCUAACUGUCCGCCAAGCCACAUGUUUCAGUCUGGUUCUUAUGGUUUGUUGAGUAGGCUUGGAACUUUUGUGUACAAAGGAACUCAGUUUGCUGCAGUUGGAUUUACUGCAGGGCUUGUUGGAACUGCACUAUCUAAUGACUGCCUUCGAUUUUUGCUAACUGUCCACCAAGCCACAUGUUUCAGUCUGGUUCUUAUGGUUUGUUGAGUAGGCUUGGAACUUUUGUGUAUAAAGGAACUCAGUUUGCUGCAGUUGGAUUUACUGCAGGGCUUGUUGGAACUGCACUAUCUAAUGGUUUAAUCAAGAUG